CAACCCUAGGAGAGGAUGCCAUUCA
rnacentral:miRNA from 1 species